GACGAACGCUGGCGGCGUGCUUAACACAUGCAAGUCGAACGGAAAGGCCCUGCUUUUGUGGGGUGCUCGAGUGGCGAACGGGUGAGUAACACGUGAGUAACCUGCCCUUGACUUUGGGAUAACUUCAGGAAACUGGGGCUAAUACCGGAUAGGAGCUCCUGCUGCAUGGUGGGGGUUGGAAAGUUUCGGCGGUUGGGGAUGGACUCGCGGCUUAUCAGCUUGUUGGUGGGGUAGUGGCUUACCAAGGCUUUGACGGGUAGCCGGCCUGAGAGGGUGACCGGCCACAUGGGGCCUGAGAUACGGCGCAGACUCCUACGGGGGGCAGCGGUGGGGAAUAUUGCACAAUGGGCGGAAGCCUGAUGCAGCAACGCCGCGUGCGGGAAGACGGCCUUCGGGUUGUAAACCGCUUUCGCCUGUGACGAAGCGUGAGUGACGGUAAUGGGUAAAGAAGCACCGGCUAACUACGUG
rnacentral:rRNA from 1 species